rnacentral:rRNA from 1 species
UACGUAGGUGGCAAGCGUUGUCCGGAUUUACUGGGCGUAAAGAGCGCGCAGGCGGUCGUUCAAGUCGCGUGUGAAAGCCCCCGGCUCAACUGGGGAGGGUCACGCGAUACUGAUCGACUUGAAGGCAGGAGAGGGUAGUGGAAUUCCCGGUGUAGUGGUGAAAUGCGUAGAUAUCGGGAGGAACACCAGUGGCGAAGGCGACUACCUGGCCUGUUUCUUGACGCUGAGGCGCGAAAGCUAGGGGAGCAAACGGG